rnacentral:lncRNA from 1 species
UGUCGUUCUAAAAUGCAGCUCAGGAUGUUUUUGGUUUUGUUCUGCUUUUCACCUAGGAAAGUAUUAUGCGCCAGUCAUUCCAAAAUUCAAUCACGGCCAUCUCAGUAGCCAGCAGAUGAAGGAUGGAGAUCCACGGAAAAUCUUAGAUGUAAGGGAUCCAGAAUCUGUCGUAGUCCUCCAUAUGGAAAGCAAUACUACUAUACCACGCGAUCAGAUGGCCGAUUAACCUAACGUCAGGUAAAUCGGUGUUUCUCAAACUGCAGGCAUGAUUCUUAAACGGAAUACGGAGUCGUGAAAGGUUUUAGAAAAAUUUAUGAAGCCAUUAUUAUUUAAAUUUUCAGAAUAUAAGUAUAAUUUUAAGGCAGUAAAGUUUAUUAUUUAGUAGACUGCCAUGUGUGAUACUAAAUAAUAUACGAUGGUACCUAGACUUACGAAUUUUAAUUCGUUUCUGUCCGCCUCGAAAAGUUCGUAUCUCGAAACCCGGUUUUCCAUUUUAUCUUAUGAGAAAUCAAUUAAUCCGUUUCCAGAUUUAGAAACUUUGAAAAUUAAUAAAGAAAAUAUGCGUUUGUGUAUAAUUUUUAUUUUUGAAAUUUUUGGUUUUACAUACUUAAUAAAAAAAAAAUCAAUUUUCUGCUGACUGGUUUUGUAGUUUGG